GAUGAACGCUGGCGGCGUGCUUAACACAUGCCAGUCGAACGAAGCACUUUAACCUGAUUCUUCGGAUGAAGGUUUUUGUGACUGAGUGGCGGACGGGUGAGUAACGCGUGGGUAACCUGCCUCAUACAGGGGGAUAACAGUUAGAAAUGACUGCUAAUACCGCAUAAGACCACAGAGCCGCAUGGCUCGGUGGGAAAAACUCCGGUGGUAUGAGAUGGACCCGCGUCUGAUUAGGUAGUUGGUGGGGUAACGGCCUACCAAGCCAACGAUCAGUAGCCGAGCUGAGAGGGUGACCGGCCACAUUGGGACUGCGACACGGCCCAAACCCCUACGGGAGGCAGCAGUGGGGAAUAUUGCACAAUGGGGGAAACCCUGAUGCAGCGACGCCGCGUGAGAGAAGAAGUAUUUCGGUAUGUAAAGCUCUAUCAGAAGGGAAGAAAAUGACGGUACCUGACUAAGAAGCACCGGCUAAAUACGUG
rnacentral:rRNA from 1 species